UGUUUCGAAAAUCUAAACUCAGUAUAGCCGUGCGGCUAUAUUAUUUUUAAAUAUAAAAAACAGUUGAACCCCAUCCAUUUGGCGCCACGUGUCAACACAAGGUCAAUUUUAAAAAAAAUUUAAAACACGGAGUAUAGCCGUUGGGCUGUACCUUUUUUUAAUUUAAAAAAAAGUGAGAACCCUCCCUUUUAGCGCCACGUGUCAAAAGUUGUUUUUUCAAAAAAUCUUAGUAUAGCCGCACGGCUGUACUAUUUCAUUAAAAGAAAUAAAAAAUAAAAAAUCCAAAAGGACCCUCCUAGUUGCAUUAGUUUGUACCUUAUAAAUAUUAAUUUGCUAGUUUCAACAUAUCCAAAGUAGAUACUAAUCUUCCACUCUAAUAAUUUUUUAUAACAUAUGUUAUUCUUAUUCAAUAACAUGUGAGAAUUAUUUGUAUAAUACGUGAAUUGUGUGUCUUACUCAAUUUUUGUAAAAAUUACGUGUAUGAACAUUAAAAAUACGUACGUACAUUUAUGUUGUUUUUUUUAAAAAUUAUUAUCACUAUAUAACUCUUUAACCCAUUUAAUUAAUUAACUCAUAGUUUUAUUUAUUAGUUACCGCCUCGUCUAUACAAUUUUAUUAAAAGACAUUUUAUUUUUUAAUUGUUUUUUUAGAAAGUAAAGCCGGCCGGCUAUACUCGUUUUUUUUUAAAAAAAGAAAGAAAAAAGAUGAAAAAUCGAGUAUAGCCGCGCGGCUAUACUAUCUCCUUGUGAAAAACAGAGCAGCUGCAGAGCGUCCACGUGUUAAAUAGUAUAGCCGGGCGGCUAGACUGUUUCGAAAAUCUAAACUCAGUAUAGCCGUGCGGCUAUAUUAUUUUUAAAUAUAAAAAACAGUUGAACCCCAUCCAUUUGGGGCCACGUGUCAACACAAGGUCAAUUUUAAAAAAAAUUUAAAACACGGAGUAUAGCCGUUGGGCUGUACCUUUUUUUAAUUUAAAAAAAGUGAGAACCCUCCCUUUUAGCGCCACGUGUCAAAAGUUGUUUUUUCAAAAAAUCUUAGUAUAGCCGCACGGCUGUACUAUUUCAUUAAAAGAAAUAAAAAAUAAAAAAUCCAAAAGGACCCUCCUAGUUGCAUUAGUUUGUACCUUAUAAAUAUUAAUUUGCUAGUUUCAACAUAUCCAAAGUAGAUACUAAUCUUCCACUCUAAUAAUUUUUAUAACAUAUGUUAUUCUUAUUCAAUAACAUGUGAGAAUUAUUUGUAUAAUACGUGAAUUGUGUGUCUUACUCAAAUUUUUGUAAAAAUUACGUGUAUGAAACAUUAAAAAUACGUACGUACAUUUAUGUUGUUUUUUUAAAAAUUAUUAUCACUAUAUAAACUCUUUAACCCAAUUUAAUUAAUUAACUCAUAGGUUUUAAUUUAUUAGUUACCGCUCGUCUAUACUAUUUAUUAAACACAUUUUAUUUUUUUAAUUUUUUUUUUAGAAAGUAAAGCCGGCCGGCUAUACUCGUUUUUUUUUAAAAAAAGAAAGAAAAAAGAUGAAAAAUCGAGUAUAGCCGCGCGGCUAUACUAUCUCCUUGUGAAAAACAGAGCAGCUGCAGAGCGUCCACGUGUUAAAUAGUAUAGCCGGGCGGCUAGACUGUUUCGAAAAUCUAAACUCAGUAUAGCCGUGCGGCUAUAUUAUUUUUAAAUAUAAAAAACAGUUGAACCCCAUCCAUUUGGGGCCACGUGUCAACACAAGGUCAAUUUUAAAAAAAAUUUAAAACACGGAGUAUAGCCGUUGGGCUGUACCUUUUUUUAAUUUAAAAAAAAGUGAGAACCCUCCCUUUUAGCGCCACGUGUCAAAAGUUGUUUUUUCAAAAAAUCUUAGUAUAGCCGCACGGCUGUACUAUUUCAUUAAAAGAAAUAAAAAAUAAAAAAUCCAAAAGGACCCUCCUAGUUGCAUUAGUUUGUACCUUAUAAAUAUUAAUUUGCUAGUUUCAACAUAUCCAAAGUAGAUACUAAUCUUCCACUCUAAUAAUUUUUAUAACAUAUGUUAUUCUUAUUCAAUAACAUGUGAGAAUUAUUUGUAUAAUACGUGAAUUUUGUGUGUCUUACUCAAAUUUUUGUAAAAAUUACGUGUAUGAAACAUUAAAAAUACGUACGUACAUUUAUGUUGUUUUUUUAAAAAUUAUUAUCACUAUAUAAACUCUUUAACCCAAUUU
rnacentral:lncRNA from 1 species